AGAGUUUGAUCCUGGCUCAGGAUGAACGCUAGCGGCAGGCUUAACACAUGCAAGUCGAGGGGCAGCGGGGAGAGUGCUUGCGCUCUCCGCCGGCGACCGGCGCACGGGUGAGUAACACGUAUGCAACCUGCCCCUGCCAGGGGGACAACCCGGCGAAAGCCGGGCUAAACCCGCGUACAUCAUCCCGGGGCAUCCCGGGGUGAGGAAAGGAGCGAUCCGGGCAGGGAUGGGCAUGCGGCGCAUUAGGCAGACGGCGGUGUGACGGACCACCGAGCCGACGAUGCGUAGGGGUUCUGAGAGGAAGGUCCCCCACACUGGUACUGAGACACGGACCAGACUCCUACGGGAGGCAGCAGUGAGGAAUAUUGGUCAAUGGCCGUAAGGCUGAACCAGCCAAGCCGCGUGGCGGAAGAAGGUGCUGAGCAUCGUAAACGCCUUUUGCCGGGGAACAACGGGCAUCACGCGUGGUGCCGUGAGUGUACCCGGAGAAAAAGCAUCGGCUAACUCCGUGCCAGCAGCCGCGGUAAUACGGAGGAUGCGAGCGUUAUCCGGAAUCAUUGGGUUUAAAGGGUGCGUAGGCUGCGGGUCAAGUCAGCGGUGAAAUCCCGGGGCUCAACCCCGGCGAGCCGUUGAAACUGGCCUGCUUGAGAGGGGGCGAGGCACGCGGAAUGCGCGGUGUAGCGGUGAAAUGCAUAGAUAUCGCGCAGAACUCCGAUUGCGAAGGCAGCGUGCCGGCCCUGGUCUGACGCUGAGGCACGAAAGCGUGGGGAGCGAACAGGAUUAGAUACCCUGGUAGUCCACGCAGUAAACGAUGAAUACUUGGUGUGUGUCCGGUUAUGGAUGCGCGCCGGAGCGAAAGCGUUAAGUAUUCCACCUGGGGAGUACGCCGGCAACGGUGAAACUCAA
rnacentral:rRNA from 1 species